GCUGUAGCUCAGUGGUAGAGCUCAGGCUUUGCAUGCAGGAGGUCCCAGGUUCAAUCCCCAGCAUCUCCA